rnacentral:rRNA from 1 species
GACAGAGGGUGCAAACGUUGUUCGGAAUUACUGGGCGUAAAGCGCGUGUAGGCGGCCAUCUAAGUCGGGCGUGAAAUCCCACGGCUCAACCGUGGAAGUGCACUCGAAACUGGAUGGCUAGAGUCCUGGAGAGGAAGGUGGAAUGCUUGGUGUAGAGGUGAAAUUCGUAGAUAUCAAGCGGAACACCGGUGGCGAAGGCGGCCUUCUGGACAGUGACUGACGCUGAGGCACGGAAAGCGUGGGGAGCGAACAGG